rnacentral:SRP_RNA from 1 species
GCCGGGCGUGGUGGCGGGCGCCUGUAGUCCCAGCUACUCGGGAGGCUGAGGCAGGAGGAUCGCUUGAGUCCAGGAGUUCUGGGCUGCAGUGCGCUAUGCCGAUCGGGUGUCCGCACUAAGUUCGGCAUCAAUAUGGUGACCUCCCGGGAGCGGGGGACCACCAGGUUGCCUAAGGAGGGGUGAACCGGCCCAGGUCGGAAACGGAGCAGGUCAAAACUCCCGUGCUGAUCAGUAGUGGGAUCGCGCCUGUGAAUAGCCACUGCACUCCAGCCUGGGCAAUAUAGUGAGACCCUGUCUCU